AUAGCCAUUAAACCCUAUUUGUUCAUUUUCAGUUUUUUUACCAAAGAGAGAUUUUUUUCUCUCAAAUUUCUCCCCUUUCCUCCGCUUUACACCUCAUAGGGGGAGGUCGAAAGCCAACAGCCAUCGCUCUCCGGCGCGUUGCGCCGUCAUACACGGUGGCUGGAACUCAAGUGAACCAAUCCAAAAUGAGUCUCUCCCUUUUUUUAACGCGAAGCCACUCACCACUUGCCCUAUAUCCGCUUCACUCGUCCUAGAUCUAGGAGACUACCUUCAAAAGUCCACAUUUUCCAACAACGUUUGGAGGCUCCGGUGGAAGGCCAAGCCAGGGGACAUUUUCUGUGGGUGGCGGUGACAUGAGUGAGGUAUGGGGUAAUCUGUUUUUACCCUGAGGUUUUCUUUUCGCAUGUGGUGAUCGGCGUGGAUCACGAUGGUGACGAUAACAACUUAGGGAGAUGGGGAGUAUGGCACGUGCAUCUCAUGAAAGGGGCACCACGAGUUCGUGGAGGCGGCGACAGUGUAGAUCCUAAAUGCUAGAGUGAAAACCCUAGUUGAUCUAGACCAUCAUAUCACUCUCAGAUCUAAUGGCUCACGACAUGCGGCGUGAAUGGAAGACAUUAGGGUUUGGGAAACCCUAAUCAACACUUGAUUUGAAUCAUCAUAUAUAGAUCUGACGGUUGUGAGGAGGCGGCGCCAAGAGCAAAAUGGUGAAACCCUAGCCUUCACAUGGGCCACUGUUGGACUUUUGGUUGUAUGGGCUAUAAUUUUAAUUUGAUAAUAAUAAUAAUUCUUUUUGGG